rnacentral:lncRNA from 1 species
GGGUAAGGAAGGAAUAUAAAGAAAAAUAAUGAAUACGUGCUUUCAUUUAGAAAAAAAUACAGUAAGUUUAACAAACCUAUGGGAAUUUUGUUUGUGAAGAGAGUUUCCCUCUUUCCCAUCCCAUUGAGGUUUAGCAAGUUGUACUGGAUGAAAGCUGUGUUGGACAAGAGAACCAUUAAUCUCCUAAAGAAAACAAGUGCCCACCCACCCCACAGCAUACCAGAAAACAGCCAAACUGUGGGGUGAGAAAACUCUGAGUCAAUAUCACAAAUCCACAAUCACAAUUUUAUUGCACUACGUUGGAUAAGAUUGACGACUAAAUUGAAGAGUGCUGGGUACCUGAGGCAGAAAGCCACCUGGAAGGCUGAGUAUGAGACUGUAGGGCAGCUUAUGGUUUCUUGGAAAGUCACAGCCCUGGAGCCUGCCUUAGGGUAUGUUUGUGCCACAUCAGGACUUUGGGACUUUGUGACCCAGGAGAAAUCCUACUGGCUUCUAUCCAUCCUCAUUAAAAGGUGGUGCGCAAAGGAACUGAGAUUGCAGAUGAGAAUUACAGAAUGUCAAAUGCUACAGACGCGUAUCUGUGUUAUUGUCUUUAUAUGGUCCUUAUUGUGGGGUAUUAAUUCUCAGCUGAGGAAACUCGAUCUCAGGCCCCAAACCAGAGCCUGAAAAAGCACACAGUUCCUUAGUGGCUGAGUUCUAGAACCCAGGCUUCGUGGCUUUCACUCCUGUCUGUUCCUGUUUUUGCUUCCCCCACCCUCUUCUCCAGAAGCCAGGUUGUCUCUGCUAGGACCUGGGUGAGUUUUUGUUUUUGUUUUUGUUGUUGUUUUUCAUUACAA